UAAUUUUUUUGCAUCCUCUACUCUCUCUCAUUUUCUAUUAUCAGAGCUCUUCAAAAAUGGCGAUUCAUUGAAUAUCGAGUGAUUUCGAGUCAUUUUCAUAGCAAACAGAUACUUAACAGGUUAUGUAAUUCGUGUGUGUGGUUUUGAUCCAUAUCUUGUGGUGUUUUGUGAGAUUUGCAUCCAAAUCUGGUAACUGGUUGUUCAAUACGGCGGUUUUGUUACAAGAGAUCAUUACCAUGUUUGCGAACAUCACGAGGAAAUAUGUGAAGAACCCCGUUCGAAGUUUUAGGGUUGAAGAAUGUGAUACUAAUAAGUUUUGAGGCUAUGUGGAAAAUUCGAAUCUAGGCCAGCAGAGCUCUUCUUGAUCUUGAAUUCAGUUAGGCACUGAUGCUGCAUUGUCAUUGUUCCUAAGUUAUUUGAUGGAAGAGGUGUCUUUGCAAGGUGAAGUUGGUUGUCCAUGCAAUGUGUCUGUGUCAGUUACGGCUCGCAUCUGAGUCUGAAGAUGAUAUUAAGGGUCCUACCCUCCUGGCUUUGCUUUGUAUGCUUGAAAGUCGUAAAGCCUUUAAUAAUGUCUUCCUUCGGCAUCACUUAUUUUGCAUCUUACAACUGGCUGUAGGGAGGUGUAUAAAGAUCAAUGUAAUCAGACACUUUUCUGCCCACAAAAGUGUGCCACCUCAUAGAGACGACACGUCAGCAAGAUGCCCACCACGUCACAGAGACGCCACGUCAACAAAAUGCCCAACACGUCAAUGAUAGCCUAACUGCAGUUAACAUUUGGUUGAGUUAAGAGUGAGGGUAUUUUGGGAAUAACUAACCCCGUUUUCUUACAAAACUGUUAUGUCGGAUGAUGUAUGAUCAAUUUAUAACCGAUUUAUAAAAUAUGAUCAUUUCGUAACU